UUAAUAAAGCCAUGGAGUCGCUGAAAGAAGCGCACGUGAAUUAUACCAAACUUGGUUUGAACAUGAAAGGGCAAACUGGAUAAUGGAGGACAACAUUACCCGGUAAACAGGAAAAAUAAAAUAAACAAUUCAGGGAGGCAAUUAGGAAUUGGAACAUUCACAUAAAACCAUAAAAAGAAGCGUUGUGAUGUCAACAUUCUAUCAUCAGAAAAUACAUGAAGAUGGGGGACAGAUAUGAUUCUGCUUGCCCUCGCAGACGUGCGAGUGGUUAGCAGAGCUAUAGAGAACAUCUCAGCGUAAGAAAAUGGCUCCCAGUUUUAGAUGUGGAGCUAAUUGGUAUGGGAAGAAUGAGUGUAAGAUGACGCUGGAACUUAGUGCGGUAGCAGAGAAUGCCGCUAUACAGGAGUUUGCAUCUUUUUCAAAAGAGCAACAACUAAUCGUUUGAGAAAAAAGGGGUUUCAUUUUCUCUGGUCAAAAUGUCAUUGGAGACUGCGGUACUGAGGAAAGCAGUUAGAGAUAUUCGGCCACUUUAAAAGUAUCUGGAUAAGGCUAUAACUGGAGUUCCGGAUAAGUAAGGCCAGUUCCUGUGUGUUCUUGACCUAUGGUACACUAGUAGGUAUACACCUUAUACCGUGAAUGAAUAUGCAAUAGUGGAUUUAUUUUGGAAGGAUUUUUUUUCAAUUCAGUUUCAAAAUCUUAAAUUGACUAGUUACUCAAAUAGGUUUAUUUUUUUUUAUUUAAUAUGGGUUCAUAGGAGAAAUUAUCAGUUCCCUGGGGUUAUGGUCUUUGGGUAAAUACAAAUGUGCUUUGUUCAUUCUGAGUAUAAAAGGCAAAUAUAUGUUAAAAGGAUAACAGUUACUCCAAAUGGUUUAUUGGAGUGGGGGUCUCUGCGAGGGUUAUGUUGAUAACUACAUAAUCUGUAACUAGUCUGAGAGAUCGCCAGUAGAAUAAGGGAGUUAUCAUGGAAGGUGACGUCAGAAUGCUUUAAUGCAUGGGAGAGAUUAUCACCACAACAAGUGUGUGUGAAACUCAAACCUACCCUACUGGCUGAAUAGUGAGGAACAACUGUCUGAUGACCUGUGAACUGUAUCUAAAAUAGACAUGCUGGAAUGAUAUGUGCUGGGAGAAGAAAGAGUAAAGGGGAUUGGGGUAAUGACCUUUUAUUACCAGGCCACUCAUGACAGAAAAACAGAGACAAAAGGGCACAUUGGAAAAUAGAUAUUACUGGUACUAAAAGUUUAGUAUAAUGUUAAUGAUGUGUAUUGAAUUGAGAAGGUCAAAUUUGAGUUAAAGUAAGCACUAAGGACUGUUAUCCUGAAUAUUGGGUUGGACAAUUUAUAAACAACAUUUAGUUAGGAUUUGGAUAUAGGACUGUUUAAAUUUACUAGGCCUAGGGAAGCUAAUCCUGAGACAGGGUGAUUGACAGAACUUAGAAUAUUAAAGGUUUUUGUUUCUUUUGUUUUACAAUGUAAUUGGAAUGAUAUAAUUGAAUAAAAGGUAUAGUCUUGUGCGAUAACACCCAAGGAUGAAGAAGAGAGAGACCAACAUAACAUGGGCAUAGAACGAAACGGAUGGACGUUUUCCCCAGGUUUAAUUACAUUAAAUAGUGGUAAUUUAAUUGCAAAUAUGCAAUGAUUAUAAUUUAUUUACUAUUUUUUUCUUGUUUGGUCAAUUUAUUUUUGUUUUGAGGAAAAUAAAGUGUGUAUAUUGUUCCUGAGGAGGGACUGAAACAUUCUCAAAUCAUUUUUUGUCAAUUUAAGUAUGUAUCAAACUAUGGAAGGAAAUUAGGAGUAGUGACGUAUGUGUUAUGGGUUAGAAAAACUACCUACAUUGGGGGCUCAUACAUGAAGGUUAUGGUAGCGGUGGGGUGUUAUUUCUAGAAACAAUGUAUAUUAAUAGACAAGAACUCACAGAAAAGGACAGUUGGCCUUGUAAAAAUAUAGGGAUAAUUCUAAAAGUAAAUAGAACAUUACACAUACCUAGAUUAUGGUAAAAGUAAUAAGUAGUGGCAUUUUGAACACUAGAGCAAAGGUUUAAGAAACUUAUGAUUUAGUUUUGUUAGGAUAUUCUUCCAACUGGAAGACACUUGUAGGGACCAUAAUUUGGCUAUCAUUAUAAAUAUUUGUGGCAGGAGGCCAGGUAUUUGAGACAGAAUGUUUACAUAGGGAGUUAUUUAAAAAUUAAGAUUUAGUGAUCUUGCUAUAAGAAGAAAGGAAAUAACCCAUGUGUUAGUGUGUAUGUCCUCAGGAAAAUAACAGCACCUAAGAGGCCAGAUGAAAGGGCAUUGGCUGAAUUCUGGAGACUGAGUGUACAUCAAGAUACACCAGGCUGGGGGUAUACUUCUUACAGCACCUGUAGUGGUAAAGAUCAUCAUGUCUUUCUUUGGUGGGUGCAUAAGUCCCACAAGAAGUAAAGUCCAGCUGAAUAAUGGGUGAGCUUAAACACCAUGACAGAGGACAUGGAACCAGAGAAAGAGAGACUAGAUUCCACUGUAGACAUAGUGGGUUGAGUUUGGGGGCUACGUGUUUUAUUUGUUAAUGCAUCAUGUAAAAAGGGAUAGAUGUUAGGGUAGUUGUACUCUAAACAAGUUGAAGGCAUUGAUGUGAAGGCAUAUACAGUGUUGAAUUACUUCAAGAAGAAAUAAUGUUUAUUAAGGUUAUGCAUAUAUGCUUAUCAGUUGAAAUCGAGCAAGAAAGGAAGAAAGUUUCCUUUCUUGCUCUAAGUAAAAAAUGACAUGAUUUGGGAACACCUCUCAGAACCUGGGGCCGAAAGGGGAAGACUGGGUGGAAGCAUGAGGAAGCUUUUUAGGGCUUUUCUUUUUGUGGAGUCCAGCAGAAAAGUAUCCUGGAGGCAUAGAGUCAAGUGAAGAGAGAGUGGGAAUUGUCAUGGUCUCAGAUUUCAGUUUUCAUGAAUAUAUUCAUGCAUAACACAUAAUUGUCAAUAGUGUUAUGUUGUCUUUUGCUUUCCAAGUCUUAUGUUUAGGAAACCAGAUGGAGAAGGGUUCGCCAGCUUCAGCUGGAAUGUCAGUUUGUUGUGUGAUGAGUGAUGGAAGUAAGAGGAUGUAUGGUGUAAUCAUAGAACAGAGGCCUUAAGUCUCUAAGUCUGAAUGCCUCACAGAAAGAAGGCAGAAACCCGAACCAGGACGAGAGGUUCCAUGUUUGAUGAUCCAAGGGGACCAGUAGGACCUCUCCCAGUGAUACCAGGAGAUCUAGUCUACGUUCGAGUGUUCCGGAGGAAGUGGGAUCAACCGAGGAGAGAAGGACCCUAACGGGUGGCUGCAGCAUCAAACACGGCCGUCCAAGUGAAAGGAAGCAAGAUGUGGUACCAUCUGAAUCACUGCACCCGAGUCCCAACAGAAAGGACACAACCAUAUAGAGAUGAGGACACAGAGGCUGCUGAUUCACCAGGAGGGACCCCGGAGGGAGCAGGAACAGCGAAAGCAAUCGAGACGCCAGGGAGGAGCCAAGAGAACAGCAGACCAAGUGAAAUACGACAGGUGCAAUACAGGUGCAUUGCCUAAUGCACCCAGAAGAAGACGAAGGAGAGAUAACAAUGGAGAGAGAACCUGUGAACAACCAGAAUUCACUCGUGGGGCCAGAGAGUCCAGGGAUGGGAGGGAGUAGCAUGCCUGCUACUCUUGAUGACAUACCUGUUGUGGCAGACCUCUUUGACAGAAGCCUUCCACAGUGGGACCCCGAAGUACCACCUGCAGAAUGGGAACAUCUUCCCUAAAAUUGACACCCUUCCAGAUGGAAGUCCAGCCCGGCCUGAGGAGGGAGUCUCAGGGGAGGAAAGGCCUCACAAGGAACAGAAGGAGACCCCACAAAGAGGAGGAAAAGUUCCGCAAGCUGAAAAAAAAGGGGGAUUUCCGCACAAUUGACUUUUCAGCUCUUAAAUGGUCUCCAUAAACAGACACUUGAAGUUAGAACCAUGGAAAAACAAUGACAUUGACAUAACAGAAGUAACAGUGAACGCUAGUAUAGAAACAGACUCACGCACAAUCAAGAUGUAGGGUGGAAACAGGAAGAGAAGAGACAUAACUGAAACAGGAGAACAGAAGACAAUCUCAAUCAAAAGGAUCAAACCCUUACCGGAGAUUGGACUCUGUGGAUGGACACAUCAUCAAAACGAAGGGAGAAGUCAUUUGGGACCCAAAAGGAUGUGACCUGACAUUAACCAAAGAAGUAGACGAGUGGGUGCUCAUCAUGAACAAGAUUGAACCAGUAGAAGGUGAGGAACAUAUAGUUGAAAUAACAAGAACAGUGACCAAAGGGAGUAGCACCACGGUCAUUAAGAUUGCUCUAAACAGGAAGAGCCUGUGACAACUAAGAUAACAUCAACUGCCCUUACCAAGCAGUCCACUGUACCCACAAAGAAACCUGAAGCAUCAGAACCAGGAGGGUUCUUUACUAACAUUUGGAACUUUUUGACAAACUCUAAUGAUAUACCUCAAGACAAAAACAUUGCAAAAGUGACAUAUAUAUCUCAGACACAGAACCACUCAAGGACACCACACGAGAAGAAGUAGUGAAGAACGGAGUGGUACGAAUUGGUUAAGUAUACAGCAAACAAACAUAGGAUGGACAAUUGUAUUUUUGUGUAGCAAAUCACCUUUGAUCUUUUGAUAGUGCCUGAACUUUCAAUAUUUGAAGAAUGUGUUAAAUGUAAAAUGUUCAAUGUAUUCAGAGAAAAUACUACAUUCCUUUGUUUAUCAGAAUGCAGUUUGGCACAAGGUAACACUAAAAGCAGAAGUGAAUUAAAUAAAAAUAUGUUGGGAGAACAUGAA